CUAUUCGGUAAUUGGCAUAUUGUCAAUGCUGACAAUUCCUAGCGGAAGAUUCUCAAAGUUGACAUUCAUGGCCCAAGAUUUAAAAAUGAGAAUUUCAUUCAAAAUCGAUCAAAUCCAUCCGAAUACAACGGGAGGCAGGAACUGGAGGAAUCUCUCCAGCGGUACUACUAGUUAUUCUUAGCAGCAGCGGCAUCAAUGGCGGCCUCUUGUCGUCAUCAUCAUCAUGGAUUCAUGGUGCCGCGCGGUGGUCUGCACUGCAUUAGAACUCGGCGUCCUUGAAAACCUUGCGCACCUGCUCCAGGGUGACGAAGAGCACGACGGUGAAGGGCCCCUGGCGCGACACCGUGGGGAUGAACCCCUUGUAGAGCGCCAUCACGCCCUCCGACCGCACCGUCUUGAGCGCGCAGUCCAGGGCCCCGGCGUACGGCGGGGGCGCGCCGGGGGCCACCUUCAUGUUCAUCACCCUGGUCUUGACCACGUCGACGGGGUUGGACGCGGCGGCGGCCACGAUGCCCGCGGCGAAGCUGGCGGCCACGUGCGUGCCCAGCCCGUCGGCGGCCGGGCCGCGGCGGGCCAGGAUGGCCUCCUUGGCCUGGUCGUAGGUGGCCAGCUGCGAGGCGGUGACGAUCAUGGCGCGGUUGACGGUGAGCGCGGAGCCGCGCCAGAGGCUGCGCACGCCCUCGUCGCGCGUCAUCCGGGCGAUGGCGUCGCCGACGCUGCGGUAGUUCCGGCGGUCGGCGAGCGGGAGGCGGCCGUCGGCCUGCAUCCGCACCAUGGCCAGGUCGGCCGGGUUGCCGACGGCGGCGCCGACGCCGCCGGCGAUGAGGCCGGCGGCGAUCUUGAGGUGCAGCGGCAGCACGCCGCCGUUCUCCUGGGUCCAGCGCUUCUUGAGGAUGUCGUAGAGCCCCAUCCGCGUGGUGGAGUAGAGCGUCUGGCGCAGCAUGGUGGCCGAGAUCCCGGAGAAGAGCCCGGCGGCGCCCUCGGCGCGCAGGAUCUGCGUGCAGAUGCCAAUCGGGCCGGGCUUGGGCACCGGCGCGGGCGCGUGCGGGAGCGUCACGGUGUGCGCCCCGGCCUGGAAGGCGAGCGCCGGGCGGAGCGCGGGCUGGGGCGCCGCCGCCGCCGCGGAGGACUCCCCCUGCAGCUGCAUCCGCACCUUGAUGAGGUCGAGCGGGUGGGUGGAGCAGCCGGCGACGAUGGAGGCGAUGCCGCCCUCGACGAAUCCCUUGACGCCCAUCUUUUCCCUCCUUCCUACAAUCCCUGGACGAAUUCGAGACCCGCAAAGAUCUAGAAACAAAACCUAAAGAAGAGAGGAAACAAAAACCAAAAAGGUGUCGGAUUUGGGCGAGGCUAUUCUAUUCCCAGUAGGAGCUGGGGCACAUCUCGGAGGACACGAGGAGGUGGGAAUGGAGGGCGAAGGCUAUGCAGGAGGAGUGUGGGACGCUGGCCCUCUGUGACAUGUGCUGCUCGUGCUGCUUGCUUCUUCUUGCCCU
rnacentral:rRNA from 1 species